ACAUGCAAAAGUGAUAGACGUGUACUUACUUAUAACUGGGUUAAUUCGCUUGUAAUUAGGAUAUAAGACAACACAGAGUGCGAAGUUACUUAUCCUGUGCUUUAUUGUGAUCAGUGAAAUACGAAACCUCGUGUGAAUACAAACUGAUAACAGCGAAACAUUCGCUUUGUGCAGGUAAAUACAAACGCGGCGUGCUGGUUGCUGUGUGCCGUUACACCUUGCAAAUGGCUGCAGAGAUUACACACAUAGGAGGCUUUCUACGCUGCUAGCGAUGCCCGAUAAUUACGGAGCGCUGCAGUUGUUCACAGCCAUGGCGUGAAGAAGGCGCUCAGGGCUACGACUGACUACAACAAGGCGAGUGCACGAACAACUUCGGAUGUCGUGACGUGCAGAAUGGCUUCUUCCAAACCAGAUCUGCAGACCUCUGCUUCUCUCGUCCCUUCGUAAUGUAAGUACUAAAACUGUCUUUCACGCAAUCAAAUAAUAGUGGUAGUGUUCGUCUGGAACCUACAGCAGCUGAAGAAUUGCUUGUUUUAUUUUCGGUUGGUGGCUGGAACCGAAAUGAAUUUUUGAGGAAAGA